rnacentral:rRNA from 2 species
CUCUAGAGAUAGAGCGUUCCCCUUCGGGGACAGAGUGACAGGUGGUGCAUGGUUGUCGUCAGCUCGUGUCGUGAGAUGUUGGGUUAAGUCCCGCAACGAGCGCAACCCUUGAUCUUAGUUGCCAGCAUUUAGUUGGGCACUCUAAGGUGACUGCCGGUGACAAACCGGAGGAAGGUGGGGAUGACGUCAAAUCAUCAUGCCCCUUAUGACCUGGGCUACACACGUGCUACAAUGGAUGGUACAAAGGGCUGCAAGACCGCGAGGUCAAGCCAAUCCCAUAAAACCAUUCUCAGUUCGGAUUGUAGGCUGCAACUCGCCUACAUGAAGCUGGAAUCGCUAGUAAUCGCGGAUCAGCAUGCCGCGGUGAAUACGUUCCCGGGC